UUUGAUUAAAGUGUCACUUUUAUAAGUAGGAAAGACAUGUAUAUAUUAUACUAAUGCCUCUUCUUGCACUACUACACCAAUUUUGUCCAAUUAAAUGCUUUCUGGAGGAAGUCCCACCCCUAACAGCACGUGCAACCGACCAGCAGCACAAACACUCUAUGUAGUUUCUCAAUUGGAGAUGUCAGAACAUAUAUACCUUUAUAGAAGAUCUUAAUCCCUCUGAAUGUGAAGCAGUGUCCGGAGGAGCGGCAGGUGUUGAGCGCAGUAUCCUGCAGUAACCAGAGGCUGAAACACAGAGGAAGGUAGAAGGCCAUAAUCAACAGCAAUGCGCAUGAUUUAUGAUCCAUUAGAUCCGGUUCAUCCUGUUUAUCCAGCUUUACUGAAUAAGGGAUGUGUUUGGACACCCUGUCAUCAGAAGCAGAGCAUUACAUUGACUGUAAUGAUGGACUUCUGCUGCUGGACAGGCAGAAGCAUAACCCCUGCUGGACAUUGUGCUGGAUCUUAGGGGAGACCCCACGAUCCUCUGCACCUUCUCACUCACACCAUUCCUUCAUAUCGCUGAGGUCUGGCUGGGAUCGAACCAGCAACCUCUGAACCCGUGAGGCAGCGCUCUUAACCAUGUCUGAACAUGUGCAGGAACUUAUAUUUCACUGUUUCCUGACCUGUGAUUUACAAUAAACUAGUUCAAGCA